GUAAGUGACUUUUAUCAGUGUUCCAUCUACCCUAGAGUAGAAGGGUGGGGCCCAGAGAAAUGAGGAUUGCACAUCUGAAAUGGAGAAGGUGGGGGUUGCUUCCCCCAUCCCCACCCCAGAUAGCAAGGAAGCUCCUGGGAUUGGAAUACGGAAGGAAGAGGGGAAAGAGCUCUGAGGGCAUAUUAAAUGCCUCCUCUAUCCCCACCCUCUCUCUGCAUGGUACUGUGUAGGGUGACUUGUGUGGAGUUACACAGACACUCUGCAUACCCUGGAUAUCACAAUAUAACAGAAAGGCUUUCGGCAUUCCAGACUUGAAAAGGAAAGUGAAAAGGAAACGUUCCGAGCAUAGCGGCUGAUAUUCCUCUGGGAAAGGCGCAGCACAGGCUGACCGCCCAGUUCCUCACUGGUGCUCUCUUGUACAUUCUGGGGAACCAGAUCCCACAUGCUGCAAUUUAAAAUUCCAGAUGCCGCAACUAAGACCCAUCGCAGCCAAAUAAAUAAAUAUUACAAGAAAAUCAUCAAUGCCUUGAAAGAACAAAGAAAGACCGAGGAACACUUCCAGAUUAAAAGAGGCUGAGCGAUAUGAACUGAAUGCCACGUGGGGUCCAGGGUUUCCUUGUGUUAUAAAGGACACUGCUGGGACAAAUGGCAAGAUCCAUGUAAAACAGACAAGAAUGCUGUUUUGGUGUUCAUUCCCUGAUUUUGGUAAUCAUAUUGGAAGAUAUCAUAUUGUAAGAGAAUGUCAUCUGCUUUUAGGCAAUACACGCUAAAGUAUUCAGAGGUAAAAGCAGUAUUAUGUCUGCAGCUUACUGUGAAACAGUUCUAAAAAAAAAAUCUUCCUCUUCUAUGUAUAUCUAUCUAGAGAGAAAUGGAAAAGAAUAUGGCAAAUGUGAUAAAGUGUUUACAUUUGGGGAAUCCAGGUGAAGGGUGUGUGGGAAUUC
ensembl:lncRNA